rnacentral:rRNA from 1 species
UAGUCCACGCUGUAAACGAUGAGUGUUAGGUGUCUGGGAGAACCUGGGUGCCACAGCAAACGCAAUAAACACUCCGCCUGGGGAGUACGCACGCAAGUGUGAAACUCAAAGGAAUUGACGGGGACCCGCACAAGCAGCGGAGCAUGUGGUUUAAUUCGAGGCAACGCGAAGAACCUUACCAGGGCUUGACAUAACAGACUAUCUUUCUAGAGAUAGAGAGGGCUCCUUCGGGAGGUCUGCUAC